rnacentral:rRNA from 1 species
AUUGAACGCUGGCGGCAGGCUUAACACAUGCAAGUCGAACGAGUGGCGGACGGGUGAGUAAUGCUUGGGAAACUGGCCGAUGGAGGGGGAUAACUACUGGAAACGGUAGCUAAUACCGCAUACCAUCGGAUGUGCCCAGUUGGGAUUAGCUAGUUGGUGGGGUAACGGCUCACCAAGGCGACGAUCCCUAGCUGGUCUGAGAGGAUGACCAGCCACACUGGAACUGAGACACGGUCCAGACUCCUACGGGAGGCAGCAGUGGGGAAUAUUGCACAAUGGGCGCAAGCCUGACGCAGCCAUGCCGCGUGAAUGAAGAAGGCCUUCGGGUUGUAAAGUACUUUCAGCAGGGAGGCGUUAAUCGCAGAAGAAGCAUCGGCUAACUCCGUGCCAGCAGCCGCGGUAAUUC